AGCAGCCGCGGUAAUUCCAGCUCCAAUAGCGUAUAUUAAAGUUGUUGCAGUUAAAAAGCUCGUAGUUGAAUUUCGGGGUCAGUAGGUUGGUCGUGCCACCGGUACGUACUGGUCUCACUGAUUCCUCCUUCCUGAUGAGCUGUAAUGCCAUUAAUUUGGUGUUGCAGGGAAUCUGGACUGUUACUUUGAAAAAUUAGAGUGUUUAAAGCAGGCUAACGCUUGAAUACAUUAGCAUGGAAUAAUGAAAUAGGACGUUCGAUCCUAUUUUGUUGGUUUCUAGGAUUGACGUAAUGAUUAAUAGGGAUAGUUGGGGGCAUUAGUAUUCAAUUGUCAGAGGUGAAAUUCUUGGAUUUAUUGAAGACUAACUACUGCGAAAGCAUUUGCCAAGGAUGUUUUCAUUAAUCAAGAACGAAAGUUAGGGGAUCGAAGACGAUCAGAUACCGUCGUAGUCAUAACCAUAAACUAUGCCGACUAGGGAUCGGAUGAUGUUAAUUUUUA
rnacentral:rRNA from 1 species